CGGCGGUCUGAAAGACAGAUACUUGGGCAGUCAGAAAAUAGAUCGCGGUGAGAGGCGAAAAACGCCGUUUUUUGGAGUUACAAAACGUCGUGUAACUCAAAAACUAGGAGGGCUAACAGCAUAAUUCUUGUACUGGGUGAAUCAGCGGACUUUGGUGUAUUUUGACUGCGAUUUUCAUAGCUCGUUCUACCUUCGUCGCGGAGAUAUGACGAGAGAAGAAACGGCUUCAUUUUCGGCGUUUGAAAACUGAGAGGAGGACAGAUUUCCACCCCUCAAACAAACGUAAUUAAUUGCUCAACGGGUAAGACAGAUGAAAUCAUCAAACUGCUCCAGCAGGACAAAGAAACAGCAGAGAAGCUGAAGUAGCUUCAGCUCCAGGGUGAGACAGAUAGUGAAAUCAUCAAACAGCUCCAGGAGGUGAAAGACAAAGCAGCUUCUGAAGAAGCAGCUGGAGUCCAAAAAUUGGGAGGUUUGUGUUUCCUUUAUACUCAAUGAAAAUUUGCUGACUUGGCUCUAUUUGGUAAUACAGAAUAGAACAGAAUAGCCACAUUAUUGUCAUUCAGAACAUAUACAGUUAGUGUCAGUAUUUACAUCAAAUUGUACAAUAUAAAUAAACAUUACCCCACCACACACUGAUUUAUUAUUAUUAUUAAAGUGAAAUUUAGAGUCCAGUUAGAGAAAACUUCUUGAUGCAAAGAUCCAGAUGAUCAUAAUGUCUCAUUAUUUAGUGCAAACACACAGUCAUAGAUGAAAGGAAACCUCUGUUCAGUUUUUGGAUUUUGGUUUGUCGUUGACUGAUCUAUCAUUAUGGAAACUGUAUUAUUUCAACAGUGGUUAUCAACACUUGUUAACACUUAAGCACAUCAACACUUAAUUGAGCUUCAUUUGCAAAUAUAAUUCAAGACACCUCAGAUAGCCUUUGAUGAGUGUCUGGAUCCUAGAUGAAGGCAUGUUUGAUCCUUCUUCCAUACAAAAAAGCAGAAAAGCAUCAACAGCCUGC
ensembl:lncRNA